AUUGAACGCUGGCGGCAUGCCUAACAUAUGCAAGUCGAGUGUUUGAAGCGAGCUUGCUCCUGUAUUCAGCGGCGGCCCGUUGAGUAAUGCCUAUGAAUCUGCCUGUUAGUGGGGGAUAACGUCCGGAAACGGGUGCUAAUACCCCAUACGUCCUGACGGAGAAAGUGGGGUAUCUUCGGACCUCACGCUAUCAGAUGAGCCUAGGUCGGAUUAGCUAGCUGGUGGGGUAAAGGCCUACCAAGUCGACGAUGCGUAACUGGUCUGAGAGGAUGAUCAGUCACAGUGGCAGUGAGACACGAUGCAGACUCCUACGGCGGGCAUCAGUGGGGACUAUUGGACGAUGGGCGAAAGCCUGAUCUAGCGAUGCCGGGUGUGUGAAGAAGGUCUUCGGAUUGUAAAGAGAUUUAGGUUGCCAGGAAGGGCAGUAAGUUAAUAGCGUGCUGUUAUGACGUGACCAACAGAAUAAGCACCGGCUAAUUUCGUG
rnacentral:rRNA from 1 species